AAUUGGAGAUACCUACGAUUUUAAGGGUAGAAGGGUCGCAUGUUGGCAGGCCAUGGACAACAUUGGCUGGGGGCAAGGGUGGCCAAUGUUGGAUUUGUCAUCAUUUCACAAUCGGACGAAGUCCUAUCAAACAGAACUGUGUGCAUCAUGACGUUAGCACUGUUAUCGCAUAUCCUUAUGGGUCUCAGGGCUCAUGUCUCUAUUUACAUAGAUCUGUUUGGCAGAAUGACGUCUAUUUGACUUGAAACUGCUGUCUUUUAGAAUGUGAACAUACAUUUGGUGUCACACAGUAAGUUGUCCGAACAAUAUUUUUUCCUGUAAAACAGGGUCAUCAAUUUGUUUCUUCUUUAAUGUCUCUUUGAAGAAAGAAUAAAUGUUUUAAAAUGAGAGAAAAAAAUAUGAAAAGGAAUAAAUUCCUGAAUUGAUUCUGUCUAGAAUUUCGUUUAUGUCUUGAUAAAUUAAAAACUUUCUGCGUAAUUAAUCGCCAUUCAUUGACGCGUGAGAAAUUUUAAAGUCUUUCCAUUUUAAAGCAGGAGCAAAUCUUUUUUCUCCGACAAAAGCCUCUCAUUAGACACUAAUGAAUGAAAAAUUAAUAUCGGAAUAAUAAUGACCGUGUGGAUGCAAUGUCAUUAAUAUUUGGUGUUGUUGUUUUUUUUCAUUCAGGUUUAACAACUGCACAUCGAUCCGUUGUAUGAGGAAGACCCUUUUGAUUAUCAUGUGGCAAUCCUCGAGCUUUCACAGCAAUUAGAAUUAAACCAGCUUGUUUGUGGCAACAAGCUCCUAGUUAUUCAUUCUCAAUAUUAGAAGCAGUUGGCAUAGUUUAACAACUGCACAUCGAUCCGUUGUAUGAGGAAGACCCUUUUGAUUAUCAUGUGGCAAUCCUCGAGCUUUCACAGCAAUUAGAAUUAAACCAGCUUGUUUGUGGCAACAAGCUCCUAGUUAUUCAUUCUCAAUAUUAGAAGCAGUUGGCAUAAUAAACAUGGGUGGCUGCUGCGUGCCCAAUUGCAGGUCAAGAAGUGAA